UAGUCAGUGCGAACGGGUAGUAACACGUGGGUAACCUGCCCCUCGCAGGGGGAUANCCGGGGGAAACCCCGGCUAAUACCCCGUAAGCUUACAAAGCGGCAUCGCUUUGUAAGGAAAGGUAGCUUCGGCCAUCCGGCGAGGGAUGGGCCCGCGGUGCAUUAGCUAGUUGGUGGGGUAACGGCCCACCAAGGCGACGAUGCAUAGCUGGUCUGAGAGGAUGAUCAGCCACACUGGGUCUGAGACACGGCCCAGACUCCUACGGGAGGCAGCAGUCGGGAAUCUUGCGCAAUGGGCGAAAGCCUGACGCAGCAACGCCGUGUGGGUGACGAAGGCCUUCGGGUCGUAAAGCCCUGUUGUUGGGGACGAAGGAGUAAGGGGUUAAUAGCCCCGAGCCUGACGG
rnacentral:rRNA from 1 species